UACGUAGGGUGCAAGCGUUAAUCGGAAUUACUGGGCGUAAAGCGUGCGCAGGCGGCUAUGCAAGACAGAUGUGAAAUCCCCGGGCUCAACCUGGGAACUGCAUUUGUGACUGCAUGGCUAGAGUACGGUAGAGGGGGGUGGAAUUCCGCGUGUAGCAGUGAAAUGCGUAGAUAUGCGGAGGAACACCGAUGGCGAAGGCAAUCCCCUGGGCCUGUACUGACGCUCAUGCACGAAAGCGUGGGGAGCAAACAGG
rnacentral:rRNA from 1 species